AGAAACUUAGGUUACACCUAAACCAAGAGCCUUCAAAGCCCUAAACAGAGGGGACCCCUCUAGUCUCUG
rnacentral:tRNA from 1 species